rnacentral:tRNA from 1 species
GGUCGAGUACCCAAGCGGCUCAAGGGAGCGGAUUGCAAACCCGUUAUUCGUGGGUUCAAAUCCCACCUCGACCU